GACGUAGGGUGCGAGCGUUGUCCGGAUUUAUUGGGCGUAAAGAGCUCGUAGGCGGCUUGUUACGUCGGCUGUGAAAACCCGCGGCUCAACCGCGGGCCUGCAGCCGAUACGGGCAGGCUAGAGUUCGGUAGGGGAGACUGGAAUUCCAGGUGUAGCGGUGAAAUGCGUAGAUAUCUGGAGGAAUACCGGUGGCGAAGGCGGCAUCCUGGACCGAGAUUGACGCUGAACGGCGAAAGCUAGGGGAGCAAACGGG
rnacentral:rRNA from 1 species